rnacentral:rRNA from 1 species
AGAGUUUGAUCAUGGCUCAGAAUGAACGCUGGCGGCGUGCUUAACACAUGCAAGUCGAGCGAGGCCUGGGGGGCAACUCCCAGAGUCGAGCGGCGGACGGGUGAGUAACACGUGGGUAACCUGCCCGGAAGUGGGGAAUACCUCGGGGAAACUCGAGCUAAUACCGCAUGACAUCUUCGGGACGAAAGUUCUGACGAUCAAAGCGGGGUCGCAAGAUCUCGCGCUACCGGAUGGGCCCGCGCCCGAUUAGCUAGUUGGUGAGGUAACGGCUCACCAAGGCUUCGAUCGGUAACCGGCCUGAGAGGGCGAUCGGUCACACCGGAACUGAGACACGGUCCGGACUCCUACGGGAGGCAGCAGUGGGGAAUCUUGCGCAAUGGGCGAAAGCCUGACGCAGCAACGCCGCGUGGAGGAUGAAGGCCCUUGGGUUGUAAACUCCUGUCGGCUGGGAAGAAAUCAUACGGUGCUAAUACCACCGUGUGUUGACUGUACCAGCAAAGGAAGCCCCGGCUAACUCUGUGCCAGCAGCCGCGGUAAUACAGAGGGGGCCAGCGUUAUUCGGAAUUAUUGGGCGUAAAGGGCGCGUAGGCGGCCAUGCGUGUCUUCCGUGAAAUCCCUCGGCUUAACUGAGGACGUGCGGAAGAAACUGCAAGGCUCGAGUCCGGGAGAGGGGGGUGGAAUUCCCAGUGUAGCGGUGAAAUGCGUAGAUAUUGGGAGGAACACCGGUGGCGAAGGCGGCCCCCUGGACCGGUACUGACGCUGAGGCGCGAAAGCGUGGGUAGCAAACGGGAUUAGAUACCCCAGUAGUCC